rnacentral:rRNA from 1 species
UUAAGCGACUAAGCGUACACGGUGGAUGCCCUGGCAGUCAGAGGCGAUGAAGGACGUGCUAAUCUGCGAUAAGCGUCGGUAAGGUGAUAUGAACCGUUAUAACCGGCGAUUUCCGAAUGGGGAAACCCAGUGUGUUUCGACACACUAUCAUUAACUGAAUCCAUAGGUUAAUGAGGCGAACCGGGGGAACUGAAACAUCUAAGUACCCCGAGGAAAAGAAAUCAACCGAGAUUCCCCCAGUAGCGGCGAGCGAACGGGGAGGAGCCCAGAGCCUGAAUCAGUGUGUGUGUUAGUGGAAGCGUCUGGAAAGGCGCGCGAUACAGGGUGACAGCCCCGUACACAAAAAUGCACAUGCUGUGAGCUCGAUGAGUAGGGCGGGACACGUGGUAUCCUGUCUGAAUAUGGGGGGACCAUCCUCCAAGGCUAAAUACUCCUGACUGACCGAUAGUGAACCAGUACCGUGAGGGAAAGGCGAAAAGAACCCCGGCGAGGGGAGUGAAAAAGAACCUGAAACCGUGUACGUACAAGCAGUGGGAGCACAGAGCAAUCUGUGUGACUGCGUACCUUUUGUAUAAUGGGUCAGCGACUUAUAUUCUGUAGCAAGGUUAGCCGAAUAGGGGAGCCGAAGGGAAACCGAGUCUUAACCGGGCGUUAAGUUGCAGGGUAUAGACCCGAAACCCGGUGAUCUAGCCAUGGGCAGGUUGAAGGUUGGGUAACACUAACUGGAGGACCGAACCGACUAAUGUUGAAAAAUUAGCGGAUGACUUGUGGCUGGGGGUGAAAGGCCAAUCAAACCGGGAGAUAGCUGGUUCUCCCCGAAAGCUAUUUAGGUAGCGCCUCGUGAAUUCAUCUCCGGGGGUAGAGCACUGUUUCGGCAAGGGGGUCAUCCCGACUUACCAACCCGAUGCAAACUGCGAAUACCGGAGAAUGUUAUCACGGGAGACACACGGCGGGUGCUAACGUCCGUCGUGAAGAGGGAAACAACCCAGACCGCCAGCUAAGGUCCCAAAGUCAUGGUUAAGUGGGAAACGAUGUGGGAAGGCCCAGACAGCCAGGAUGUUGGCUUAGAAGCAGCCAUCAUUUAAAGAAAGCGUAAUAGCUCACUGGUCGAGUCGGCCUGCGCGGAAGAUGUAACGGGGCUAAACCAUGCACCGAAGCUGCGGCAGCGACACUGUGUGUUGUUGGGUAGGGGAGCGUUCUGUAAGCCUGUGAAGGUGUGCUGUGAGGCAUGCUGGAGGUAUCAGAAGUGCGAAUGCUGACAUAAGUAACGAUAAAGCGGGUGAAAAGCCCGCUCGCCGGAAGACCAAGGGUUCCUGUCCAACGUUAAUCGGGGCAGGGUGAGUCGACCCCUAAGGCGAGGCCGAAAGGCGUAGUCGAUGGGAAACAGGUUAAUAUUCCUGUACUUGGUGUUACUGCGAAGGGGGGACGGAGAAGGCUAUGUUGGCCGGGCGACGGUUGUCCCGGUUUAAGCGUGUAGGCUGGUUUUCCAGGCAAAUCCGGAAAAUCAAGGCUGAGGCGUGAUGACGAGGCACUACGGUGCUGAAGCAACAAAUGCCCUGCUUCCAGGAAAAGCCUCUAAGCAUCAGGUAACAUCAAAUCGUACCCCAAACCGACACAGGUGGUCAGGUAGAGAAUACCAAGGCGCUUGAGAGAACUCGGGUGAAGGAACUAGGCAAAAUGGUGCCGUAACUUCGGGAGAAGGCACGCUGAUAUGUAGGUGAAGUCCCUCGCGGAUGGAGCUGAAAUCAGUCGAAGAUACCAGCUGGCUGCAACUGUUUAUUAAAAACACAGCACUGUGCAAACACGAAAGUGGACGUAUACGGUGUGACGCCUGCCCGGUGCCGGAAGGUUAAUUGAUGGGGUCAGCGCAAGCGAAGCUCUUGAUCGAAGCCCCGGUAAACGGCGGCCGUAACUAUAACGGUCCUAAGGUAGCGAAAUUCCUUGUCGGGUAAGUUCCGACCUGCACGAAUGGCGUAAUGAUGGCCAGGCUGUCUCCACCCGAGACUCAGUGAAAUUGAACUCGCUGUGAAGAUGCAGUGUACCCGCGGCAAGACGGAAAGACCCCGUGAACCUUUACUAUAGCUUGACACUGAACAUUGAGCCUUGAUGUGUAGGAUAGGUGGGAGGCUUUGAAGUGUGGACGCCAGUCUGCAUGGAGCCGACCUUGAAAUACCACCCUUUAAUGUUUGAUGUUCUAACGUGGACCCGUGAUCCGGGUUGCGGACAGUGUCUGGUGGGUAGUUUGACUGGGGCGGUCUCCUCCUAAAGAGUAACGGAGGAGCACGAAGGUUGGCUAAUCCUGGUCGGACAUCAGGAGGUUAGUGCAAUGGCAUAAGCCAGCUUGACUGCGAGCGUGACGGCGCGAGCAGGUGCGAAAGCAGGUCAUAGUGAUCCGGUGGUUCUGAAUGGAAGGGCCAUCGCUCAACGGAUAAAAGGUACUCCGGGGAUAACAGGCUGAUACCGCCCAAGAGUUCAUAUCGACGGCGGUGUUUGGCACCUCGAUGUCGGCUCAUCACAUCCUGGGGCUGAAGUAGGUCCCAAGGGUAUGGCUGUUCGCCAUUUAAAGUGGUACGCGAGCUGGGUUUAGAACGUCGUGAGACAGUUCGGUCCCUAUCUGCCGUGGGCGCUGGAGAACUGAGGGGGGCUGCUCCUAGUACGAGAGGACCGGAGUGGACGCAUCACUGGUGUUCGGGUUGUCAUGCCAAUGGCACUGCCCGGUAGCUAAAUGCGGAAGAGAUAAGUGCUGAAAGCAUCUAAGCACGAAACUUGCCCCGAGAUGAGUUCUCCCUGACCCUUUAAGGGUCCUGAAGGAACGUUGAAGACGACGACGUUGAUAGGCCGGGUGUGUAAGCGCAGCGAUGCGUUGAGCUAACCGGUACUAAUGAACCGUGAGGCUUAACCUU